UGUAACACCCCUAAGUUCGGUAGUGCGUUCUACUGUUCCGAUGACCAGUGUUGUCCGGACAGCUAGGAUGCCUAGAACUAUACUUCGUUAUGAGUGAAGAGACAUAAAAUAAUAAAAUACAAGAUAAGAAAAUACAAGAAAAACAAAGGAAAAAUAAUAGCAAAGAAAUGUAACCAAGUAAAGCGAGCCGAGAACCCUAGCGAUGGGUGACCGCACCGGGAAGUCACGGCGUGGACCGUUGACUAGCCCUGGACUGCGAGGAACCCUGGAAAAUAUUUUUAGUACUUAAAUAGACCCCUAUUGAAGUAUAAAUACCAUUAGAAAUAUCAAAGAAAAAUUAAUUAAUUAGUACAAAGAAAAACGGGAAAUCGAGAAAACGACAAAAAUCGGUGUUACCGAAAAAUUUGAAAUGCAAACCGAAAAGGGGCAUUUUGAUCAUUUGACACCUAGAGUGGACUUUUGACCUAAAUGUCCAUGAAAAAUAAGUGGUAUUACAUUUUGAAAAUUUAAUGAAAAAUGAAAUUGAAGAUAAAAUGUAAUUUAAGGAAAGUUGAGGGCAAAAGUGCAAUUAAAAGAAAUCUUAAAUUAAACCAAUUUUUAAUUAACUUAAUGGGGCACCACGUGGGACAUUUAGUGGCCAUAUAAAGCCACCUUUGGACAGCACAAUCUGCAUCUUCUUCUUCAUUUUUUUCAUUAGCCGUAUUGCUCUCCCAUAGAAACCUCCAUUGAUGUCCCUAAACCAAGCUCCAUGCAUCCAUUUUCAAGCCAUUUUCCACAUGAUUUCCUUCAUUAAAUUUAGUCUACACAGCUUGGGAAGUGUUAUGGCAGCAAAAAGAAGCACGAUUGGUGAGGUUUUAGCAAGCUCUAACAAGAGUUAGUAAAGACUCAGGGAAAGGGAAGGAAACACUGAGUCCAGACCAGGAGACAGUCAUCAGAGGUAAGAAGAGCAUAGAGCAGUAAGUAAAUUUCCUUGAAGAUAUAUUCAGAUCAGCUCCAGGUAUAUCAUAGUUGUACAGGAAUAGACAAUAUUGUGAAAAGAUAUGGAAGAGAAGAAUGAGACAAUAGAACAGUCUGUGAUGGCAGAAGAACAAGUUGAGGCCCCAGCUCCACAAAGUGUCGAAGGUCUGACUGUACCAGUUUUACCGGUACAAAUUACUGCACAAAUGGCCCAACAAAUGGCCACUUUCUUUCAACAACUGGCUAAUAAUCACACCAAGCCCAAGUAUGCACCCAACCCCACAAGCGGUGUGAAAUGGAAAAAGGAGAAACCUAUGGGUCGAGCUCGAGCAGUAAUUUGAGAAAGAGAAAAGAAUUUGAGGAACCCGAGCUCGAGGAUACGAUAGAGAUGGAUCAUUAAGACAGAAACCACUAAGGUCCAGUCAUCGAACAACUAGAAGUUCCUACCCUCCCCGCCAAUGUGAAACUUGUGGAAGAUAUCAUGGUGGGAUAUGCUAUAAGGCCUUUGGAGCCUGCUACAAUUGUGGAAAACUUGGACACUUUGCUAAAGAUUGUACUAAACCACCUCGAUCUGCUCUCUGGAGUUCACAGACCGUCAGUCAGAGUCAAGAUAGAAAUAGAGUUGGUACUCCUCACCACUAUAACACAGUGAAUCAACCCGAAUAUAGUAGCGCACCAGUCAGAGCGUCCACUAUGCGCCAAGGAGAAAGAGCAGAAACUUGGAUGUAGGCUG